rnacentral:rRNA from 1 species
CGGGGGUGGAGAAAACACAAAAAAUUUUUUUUCCCCCUCUUUAAAAAAAAUAUUUUUUUAAGAAAAUAAAAGUUCUCAAAAAGGAGAAAAAACUUUUAAAAUUUUUAUUUUAUCUUGAAAUUUAUUUUUUUUUUUUCAAUUUUCACCAUGGAAAAAAAAAAAAAGUAAAAGGGUUCAGGCCCGAUUUUAAGAGAGGAGUUUUGGCUUUUUUUUUAAAGUUAGUUUGGGUAAAGGUAAAGGGGUUUUCCCAAGGGUUUCGGAGGGAAAAGUUGGUUUUGGGGAGGACGUUUCACCCAACACGGGGACCGGAGGACCCGGCCCUAAGGUUCCUUACGGGAAGGUGCCAGCAGGGGAAUCUUGGGCAAUGAGCGAAAAGUUGGAGGCAGGGACACCGGGGUGUGGGAGGAGGGAUCUAGGUUUGUAAACCACUUUCAGGAGGGAAGAAAUUGACGGUACCUCCACAAGAAGCCCCGGCUAACUACGUGCCAGCAGCCGCGGUAAUACGUAGGGGGCGAGCAUUGUCCGGAAUUAUUGGGCGUAAAGCGCUCGUAGGCGGUUCAACAAGUCGUUCGUGAAAGUUUAGAGCUCAACUCUAAAAUGUCGAUCGAUACUGUUGUGACUAGAAUACGGUAGAGGUGAGUGGAAUUCAAAGUGUAGCGGUGAAAUGCGUAGAUAUUUUGAGGAACACCAAAUGCGAAGGCAGCUCACUGGGCCGCUAUUGACGCUGAGGAGCGAAAGCUAGGGGAGCAAACAGGAUUAGAUACCCUGGUAGUCCUAGCUGUAAACGAUGGAUACUAGAUGUGGGAUCUGGAUUGACGGAUUCUGUAUCGUAGCUAACGCGUUAAGUAUCCCGCCUGGGGAGUACGGCCGCAAGGCUAAAACUCAAAGGAAUUGACGGGACCCCGCACAAGCGGCGGAGCAUGCGGCUUAAUUCGAUGAUACCCGUAGAACCUUACCUGGACUUGACAUAUGGGGUCAAGCCAUAGAAAUAUGGUGUGCAUUAGCGCCCUAUACAGGUGGUGCAUGGCUGUCGUCAGCUCGUGUCGUGAGAUGUUGGGUUAAGUCCCGCAACGAGCGCAACCCCUAUCCUAUGUUGCCAGCAAGUAAUGUUGGGGACUCAUGGGAGACUGCCGGUGAUAAACCGGAGGAAGGUGGGGAUGACGUCAAGUCAUCAUGCCCCUUAUGUCCAGGGCUGCACGCAUGCUACAAUGGCAAGUACAACGAGUCGCAAUAUCGCAAGAUGGAGCAAAUCUCUUAAAGCUUGUCCCAGUUCGGAUAGAAGUCUGCAACUCGACUCCUUGAAGUUGGAGUCGCUAGUAAUCGCAAAUCAGCAAAGUUGUUGGGUAUUUGCGC